ensembl:lncRNA
CCCACUAAGCGAACAGUCGCAAGGGUGAAAAACUCAAGUCCCUUUUCUCAAGGCCGCUGCAGCUUCAGAUGGCCGCUAAGCAAGUCGUCCCUGGCAGGGCGGUUGGGGGCUCCAAGGGAGCCAACCUGGCGCUCCGAAGCCCACGUGCCACCCUGGCUUUUUGCCUUUGCCGCAGGUUGGAGCCGAGGCUGGAUCAUCGCGGGCUCCAUCAUCAUCGCCCUGCUGUCCAUUGCCCUCAUCGUCGGGGGCGUGAUCUGGUGCUGCUGGUGCUGCUGGGGAAAAGGUGGGGGCUGCUGUGGGGACCAGUGCCCCAGCUGCUACUGCGGGAAGGACUACUGCUGGGACUGCUGCUGCAACUUCAGCCCUGACGCCCCCGAGAAGCAUCAGCAGUACUCCCAGACCAAGGCCAGCGACAUCUGUGUGGAUGCUGAAGCCCCCCCCAGCCGACCUUGCAGCCAGGCCAUCAGUCGGGCCAGCAGCCUCCACUCCUUGCUGGGCUAUCAAACGAAGGGCGUCCAGUACUCUCAAGGCCGCAAGUACACCCCUCCCAUCGUCCAGGUCAAGAUGAGCUCACCUCCGGACAGUGACGUCAGCGUGGUCCUGCCUCUUGAAAUCCCUUCGCCCCCCGAUUCGGAGCAAGGGGAGAUCUCCGAGCCUUACUACCCCCCGAAAGGGGGCACCAUCUACCCUGACCCCGACCCCUGCUGCGAACCCAUCAAAGUCGAUAACGUCAAAGGCUCGCGGUCUCAAAUCUACUGCGACCCCCAUAAUUAUACCUCGGCUUGCUCGGAUCCCACCGGGCUUCGUUGGAAGGACGGGAGCAGCCGGCAGUUUAAGAGCGCGGUGCUUAUGAUGCGCUCUUCCAGCCGGGAUGGUCUUUUGAUAUAAGCCAGAGACGGGGGUGGGGAGCUGGAUUAAUGGGGGUUGGGGAAAGAAGUGGGGAAGGGGAGCAAUGCAAUCAGGACCAACUGCUCUUCUCCAUCCAGACAUCUCCACCCCAUGACCCAGGAGGCAGGCCCAAGCUCUUUAGGGAUGCCGGAUCGGGAUUUUUCACACCCAAAAGGUCUGCAAAACCCAGAAUCCUUAAACAGCGCCCUAAUUUCCCCAUUGAUUUACCCACUCCGAUGCUCCCGUAGGAACGAGCCAGCCUGCAAAGAAGGAAAAACCCUUCUGGGCAGUUAUUUUGAUCCGGUGUGAUGUGGGGAAUCCAACAAGCUUGCUAUCCUUUAAACAUUAGCCCAGCUACACAGAAGCCACAGGUCAGGGGGAAGAAAAAAAAUCAGGGAUGAUGUUUAAAGGAUCGAGGAUUGAUUGCAAGAGCUGGAUCUUGCGCGAAAACACCAUCUGCGUGGUUUUAUCGGUGUCACCUCCGAAGUAAGCCUGCAUUAAAUAUUACUUAACCCAAGCAAAAGUGCCCCAAUGUUGGAUUCCUGCCUGCUUGGCGCACCCCUAAGGAGCGAAUGUUUUCCCUUGCAAAAGCUAGAAAAAAAUUGCAUUUAUUUGCCUUUUUUUUUUUUUUUUAAACUGAAAGGCCUGGAGCCCAACCUGUGUUUUUCUCGUAAAAGAGCCGCGAUCUCUGGUUCGCACAUUCAGAGCGAGAGAAACAUUGCUUGCCUCAAGGCAAACCCACAAGCAUUCAGAGAAGAUCUGAGCAUUACAGAAACGUAACCGUAUGCUAAGCGCACUGAUCGUUCGAGAGCAACUUUGCUAAGAUUUGGCUGGCUCUCUUCGCAAUAUUUUUUUUAAGAAAAGAGAAAAAAAAAAACCUAAAACAGUAGCAGGCGUUGAAAAAACAACAACAACCCAGCAGUAUUAAUUCAACUGAAAAUCCAACAUGGCAGGUGAAGAACCUUAUCCAAUAGGUGUUUUAUAUAUAUUGCAAUGCAAAACAGGCUUAUCCAAUAAGCCCCGUUCAAAAGUAGAUUGUUGGAUUUCAAACUUUUUCAGGUCUCUUCAUAAAAAAGGAAAAAAGCCCCAGCAUGGAUCAAGUUAAAAAAAAAUAAAAGUCUAGAAAGUACUACUUUUUUUUUCCUUUUUAAAAGCUCCUCGUGAAAUUACACCGUUUGAAAACCCCUGAAUUAGAUUACCCUAAAUUUAUACCUGCCUGCAUGUUUUUUUUCUCCCAUUUUCCCACAAUUUCAGGGUUCACUUUUUUGGGUGGGGUGGAAUCAGCAAGUGUUGAUCCAUCAUCACCCCUUGCAAAACCAGAGUCUGGAACUCAACUUGGCCCCAGAGCAAAAUUCAUUAUACUCACCCAAACUGGAUUUUUUGAGUAGCUGCCUCUGGAAACGGGCAGGAAAAAUUACCUCUUAGCCUCCUAAUCAGUCAAAAAAUUGUUCGAUGGAUAGAAAGAUCCAAUAAUGCCAAUUUAGUGUGGUUGCAAAAUCCAUCCAAUCUAUCCGGAAAUUCCUAGAUUUGCACUAGUGAUGGAGAAGGAGAACAAUUAGUGGCAUAUAUACAAAUAUA